rnacentral:rRNA from 1 species
UACGUAGGGUGCGAGCGUUGUCCGGAAUUAUUGGGCGUAAAGAGCUCGUAGGCGGUCUGUCGCGUCGAUCGUGAAAACUUGGGGCUUAACCCUGAGCUUGCGGUCGAUACGGGCAUGACUGGAGUUCGGCAGGGGAGACUGGAAUUCCUGGUGUAGCGGUGAAAUGCGCAGAUAUCGGGAGGAACACCAAUGGCGAAGGCAGCUCGCUGGGACGGUACUGACGCUGAGACGCGAAAGCGUGGGGAGCAAACAGG